rnacentral:lncRNA from 1 species
UUUAGAAUUUGAAUCCUGUGUUUCUGUAUUUUAACAAAUUUCCCAUCCAAUUGUAAAUCCCUCCAGUUGAACAGUUUACUAUACCUGAUUUCUUGAAUUAGUGUGCUAUUAAACCAGACCGAUUAAUUCGUUGUAUCACAUUUGGUAAUUAGGAACUGCAUUCAGUGUUCACAAAACACGUAGUAAUAACAACGAUUCAAAGAGAAGAGAAAACUAGUUGCUUAAUUGAGGAAAAAUUCCAGAGAAAAAUUAUCAGUCCUGAUUCGGAUCUAGAAUAAUCAGUUGUAAGCUCCAUGAGAAGUUAAAUUAUCGAUCGUCGAUCGAUGAAUCUAACAGAGGCCACAGAACAAGUAGUCAAACAAAGUCUCUGUGCAAUCGUAGACGCAUGAACAACUGGUAUUAAGUGAUAGUUAGAAUUAACAUAAUCGAAAUUAGUGAAAUCAAAUGAAAAUAGCAAUACGAUAUACCAGGUAUCGAUGAUAUUAUCUUGUGAAUCAUCCUCUGGAGGAUUGUUUGUGCUUGUUGUGGUCUCCAUGGCUUCAACUUGAGGUGCUUCCAUCUCUCGCUUUACACACAGGGAAUUAGAAUUAUGUGUUUGAGAAGAAGGCGACUGCAGUGAAGAUUUGGUAGGUGGGAUGUAGACUAUAGAAUCAGAAAAUUGGUACUUAGAAUUGGGUAUUUGGGUCUGUGUUGAGUGGCUGCAAGUUAAAUAGGUAUGUAGAUUGUGGAGUCAAUGCAAUGAAAUGCCUACCUAAUUUGAAACCGAAGUUUCGCGGAUGACAUUCUGGGUGGCUGCACAGCACCGUGGAAAGUGGAAACUAGUGGGGCUAUUUAAUUUUUUAGAGCAUGUCAACUAGCCAUUAAAAAGGAGAUAAAUAACAAAAAUAACCGUCUAUAUCAUUUUUAGAAAAAUGACUUGUCAUGAAAUAUUUUGGAAGAGUUAUUGAGUUCAUGAGAUUUGACGUAAAGGUAAUGAUAUAUGAAAUUAGAUUCAUUCCAAUGAAAAAUGACAUAAAUUUUGUGAGGUCA